rnacentral:rRNA from 1 species
GACGAACGCUGGCGGCGUGCCUAAUACAUGCAAGUCGAACGCUGAAGGAGGAGCUUGCUUCUCUGGAUGAGUUGCGAACGGGUGAGUAACGCGUAGGUAACCUGCCUGGUAGCGGGGGAUAACUAUUGGAAACGAUAGCUAAUACCGCAUAAGAGUAGAUGUUGCAUGACAUUUGCUUAAAAGGUGCAAUUGCAUCACUACCAGAUGGACCUGCGUUGUAUUAGCUAGUUGGUGGGGUAACGGCUCACCAAGGCGACGAUACAUAGCCGACCUGAGAGGGUGAUCGGCCACACUGGGACUGAGACACGGCCCAGACUCCUACGGGAGGCAGCAGUAGGGAAUCUUCGGCAAGGGACGGAAGGCUGACCGAGCAACGCCGCGGGAGUGAAGAAGGGUGUCGGAUCGGAAAGAUCGGUUGUAAGAGAAGAACGAGUGUGAGAGUGGAAAGUUCACACUGUGACGGUAGCUGACCAGAAAGGGACGGCUAACUACGUG